ACGUUUUGUUCGUGCAUCGGAUGCGGAGGCGCCGUCCGUAGCGCGCAGUACGCAGGUAGCGCCCGCACGCCCGCCACGCUGCCGCGCGUACGCCCCAGCGGGGGGGAGAUCGUCGACACUUGCUGCUGACGGUAGUAAUCCAUCUGGGAGUGAAUGAGCAGUUCGGUCGCGCAGCAAAAUCCCUAUCCCCUCCAAGCCUGCCGUAAGGAACUUCGUUCCAAAAAUUUAAAUCUAUAUAUUAGUACGUGAAGCAAGAACUUUGUACCCCUUCGUAAGAAAAUUGCGCUGACAGAGGAGAAUGAAAUUUCGCACAUUUAUAGAGAAUAUAGAAAAGGAGUUCAGAAUGUUAAUUUUUUUUUUUUAAAUUAUGCAUUAAAAAUAAAUUACAUCAAUAAAACAUUACAUUACUACCAUGUAUUUGACACACACACGCAUGUAUACUCUUUGUUUAUUGUCAAACUAUUCUUAUUGCUUAUAGUGUAUGAUCAAAUUGAGGAUAUAAGUAUUGUUUGUCUUUA